rnacentral:lncRNA from 1 species
UCUAAAUUAUUUUUAUCUAUAUCUCUAAAUCAUUUAUCUUUACAUGGACGAGUGUAUUGUUACUUCCAUCCUUUAUUUAUUAUAAAAAUAUCUUGUAACAUCCUGAACCAAGGAUGUGGUGAUAUUCGAGAAUUUAAUUCAAAUGAAGUAUUUAUAUGUCAUAGUAUGUUGUGAGCACCGGAACCCUAAUGGUUUAGUAAUAUUAAGGAAGUUUGGGUAUAAAUGUAAUUAAGAAGGAAGAUGAUUAAAGAUGUAAUGGUAUAAAAAAUUAAAGUUUGGUGAUCAUUAAACAAGACUAAAUGAAAUCUUGAAGGGUUCUUAGAUAAAGUUGAUUUGGGUAGUAAUUUUGAAGUGCAAAUGGAUAAUUUGUGAUAGAUUUCUGAACCCCAAGGGUUUAGUUUGAGGAUAGGUCGGUUCAGUUGCAGGAAAUAGAAGCAUAUCAAAAGAUCUAUGGUGGUGCGCAGUUAGUCAACCCAGUUUUGAACUGAGUCGACUAAGUUGAACUGGGUCAGUUCAGUUUCAGGAUGAGUCGGCUAACUGUAUGGGAAAGCUUGAGCAGUGGGGUUCUACUGAGUAGCUGAACUUUAGAAUUUUAAAUUAAUUUUCAAGGAGGUUACUCAGCAGCUGUUUUAAUUUAAAUUAAGGGUUGGAAAACCUAAAUAAGUGCUGGGAAAUUUAUGAGAUGGACACCCAGGUGGGUUUUUAAAAUUUCUUUUCCUAAGGGGGCUGUCCAUCGGUUCUUCCUAAGUUUGGUAGUUCUGGAUUUGGGUGCAACCAGAGAAGAUAGAGAUGGUGAGAAGCUAGAAAGGAAGGUGUUCUCAGUUGAAACCAAGGGAGAAUUCAGUUGGAGCAAGGGAAUUUAGUGAUAAAUUAAAGUGAAGAAAGAAAAGUUGCUGACAAAGGAAAGAAAGAAGCUUGUUUUGGAUUUGCAGUAGGAUUUUCUUCAUUUGAGGUAAGAAUUCCAAUCCCUAAGCUAGUUCCAAAUUAAACCUUGAGUAGUCAUUAUCAAAUUUGAUGUUAUGAGGAAUUAAGGUAUGUGUUUAAACUCAGAUUUUUAAGAUGAAUUAUGCUGUCUCUUUGCUGAAAGUUAUUGGGUGGUCCUGAUAGGUAGUUGAAACUGUUGGUGGCUGUAAUAUAUCAGCUAGUAAAGAUAAGAACUCCCGACUCUAAACUGAAUUUAAGUUACAUUCUAACCGAUAACUAUAAAAUUGAUGUUCAGGGGAACUGAAAUACAUGAAUUAUGUGUCUAAGUAGAAGAAUUAAGGUUGCUACUGAUUUUAUUGGAAAUUGUCAGAAUUGUUUUGGAAAAUUAAAUAGUGAUGUAUCAGCUGAACUUAAGACCAUUUGUAUGAAUGAAAUACAGUUAGUUGCUAAAAGUUCUUGACUGAUAUUAAAGUUUAGUUAACCCUAAGGUAGAGCAAAACAAGAUGAAAUAAAAAUAAGAGCUAGAAGAGCUAAUGAUUAUGCAUGUAAACCUGACAUUGGAAGACAAGAUUGCUGCUGUUAAUUCUAACGAACCUGGUAGUGUUUAUUUCAACAUUUAGGGGGAUUUAAUUAAUUUUGAGCAGAAUAAAAUAGAAUAGAGCAAAGUAAGAGUUAAGCAAGCUAAAGAAUAAGCAUAAGACAGCAAAACAUGUAUAGUUUUGUUCUUGAAGCAUGUUAGUAAUGUAUUUAUCUGUAUUUACUAAUGUCUAGGGAAGGAAAAGAGCUUGAGAAAGGAUGUCUUGGAUAAGUAAGCAGCGAGCCAGUCUAGCAGCCAUUUGUGGUGAGUGAGUUUUUCAUCUAGCUUUGGUGUUUUUCUUUCUUAAAAGAAAACCUAUUUUCUGAUAUUCUACAACUCAUAUGUGUAUAUGCAAGUAGAAAGAUAGGAAUUGAACUUUAUAGAAAUGUUACUCCAGUACUUGUGUAUGUGCUAUGUUUUGAUAGAAGUUUAUUCUGAUUUAGAAAUGGUUAUUAGAUAGUUUUUUAGUAAUUGCAUUCCAACUUUCCAACAUUUGAAAGUUUAUCUAGUGUUCAUUGAAAGGACAACCCAUGGAAUUGAUCAACCCAUAGGGUGUGUCCCUAAUGUUCUCUUUUAGCAAAUGUUUGGAAUGGCUACUCAUGGGACUGAACCACCUAUAUGGGGUGCCUUGGCAUCAGCAUUGGCAUUAUAUAUAUAGUAUGAGUAUCAGAUCAGUCGGCACCUUCUUGUGAAAUAUUAUAUCCGUGGGGGCUUAUUACCAUCAUAUUAGAUAUACCGUCUCGACUACCAUAGUACAGGUGCGCUGUGGGAUAGUCGAUGGUAAGCUAAGUAGCAUGACUCAUUUCUUGGUUCAUUUUUAUAUAUUACAGCUUGUGAAUGUUUGAUAGUUAUGUAAAGUUGAAUAUAUUUCAGUAUUUUGAUUGAAAAGUUUAGAAUUGUUUCAGCAAAGCACUUAAAACUUCAAAAAUGACAGUUUUCUAUAUCGUGUUAAGCAUUAAAGUUAUAUAUUCCUAUUUUCUCCCAUUGUUAGUUGAAAUUCUUACUCACUGGGAUGUUAGUCUCAUUAUGUGGUUUAUUUUAUUUUUUCGGGACAGAUUGUAGCGCCAUAGCGUAAUAUAGCAGAGGUUGGACAGGUCAGCUGGAAGGAGCAUAUUUUGAAGAUAAAUAUAUUUUGAGAUGUUAAAUUUUAAAUAUACUUUAAUAAUGAAUGCUUAAGCCUUAUAUGAGGAUUGGUACUUGUUGAUCAUGUUAUAUGGAUGUGUAUGUAUAAAGCAUAGUGGAUGAAUGAAAGUAUGGAUUUAAUGUUGAGAAGAAAGCGGUGUGUUAAUGAAAUUAUGUGUGUCAACAUUAUGAUAUGUUGAUUUAUUUGAGCAGAAGCAAGUUCAGUUAGAAGUUUUCCCCUUUACCCUUAUCUAAGGAUACAUUUACUCUUAUUUAAGGGUGGGGUGUAGCACUUCUAUCCGGUAAUUAGGGGUGGGAUGUUACAUAGGUAGUAUUAGAGCAAGGUUUUCAUGAUUAUUUGGGAGUAUGUAAGAAUAAAUUAUUGUUCAAAGCAAGGUUUAUAAUUAAUUGAGAGUAUGUUGGAAUAAAUUGUUGAUCAGACUUAAUGGUUUAUGAUCAAUUGAAGAAAAGUUGAAGUUUAUGAUCAUUUGGGGCAAGAGUAAGUUUAUAAGUAGUAGAGAUGGUGAUGUAAGUAGUAUUUGAUGAUACAGGUGUAAUAAAGCAUUACAAUGUGUUCAAGUUAAGAGAAAGUAAGUUGAAUUCAGAUGUUUAAAAGACUAGAAUGAUUUUCAUAGAAGUUUAACAUUUAGCAAGAGAGAUGUUUUGGAAUAGUUAAAUUGCAUGGGUAUUAUUUAAUGGAUUUCAUUUCAAUAAGAAUUAUCUCAUUAAGUGACUAAUUUUAUGAUGUUAACUACAGAUGAUGGAGAUUAUUGAUUUAUCCCAAAGAUAAUGUUGACUGAAGCGGUAAGGAAGUUAGGGUUGCCAGACCCGGUGUAUGGACAAGAAAGGAAUCAAGAGCAGGUCGACAAAUCUUUUGUUGAGGUGAUUGUGAAUAGGGGAGAUCCACCUCAGGAGAUAAUAAAAGCUUUUGGUUCGUUUGGGGUUGAGCAGCUGAAAUUAGAAGAGCAAGUAGCUAUUUUCGCUCUCAAUAAUUUGCAGCAUUGGUUUCAUUUUGAAGUGCGAGAUUUUAACUUUGAGGACAAGGAGGAUUACAAGCAUUCUUAUCAAAGAAUGAGGGCUAGAUAUAAUGUUUUAAGUGCAGAGUUACAGCAGCUAAGAUGGGAUUAUGAGCGACUAAGAGAUAUUAAUCAAAAACAUAUUGAUGAAUAUUCUAAUUUGCAACGUCAAGUGGACAAACUGAGACAAGGACUUCCCCCAGACUCUGCAUCAUCUUUCAGAGAAAAUUGAUAUAUGAAAGAAAAGGAAAGGGAACAAGUAAGAAAAGUAGGAGCUGCCAAGGACAAAAGGGGUUGUGUCAAUCAGAGUAAGGAGUAACUUUUUGUAUCAAUUUAAGUAAAGAGCAUUUUGGUUAGGUUAAUUGGAGAGAAGUGUUUUGGUUAUGUUGUAUAUUUUAGGUUUGUUUUACCUAAGAAAAUGUUGAUGCAUGUACUUUAAAGUCAUGUGUAUAAAGUUAUGGAGUAAAUAAGCAAAGUUGUAAAAUUGUUUUAGUUUAUGAUCAUUGGCAUGUUUGGUUCCAAGCCUAGCAAGUUGGUUUGCAAUAAUGAUUUGAGUUUCGGAAUGUUUUUAAGUGCAAGAAUCUAAAUUUUGAUGAUGAAAUUCUUUAAAGGAGGAGAGAAAUGUAACAUCCCAAACCAAGGAUGUCAUGAUAUUCGAGAAUUUAAUUCAAAUAUAGUAUUUAUUUAUAUAUCAUAGUAUGUUAUGAGCACUGGAACCCUAAUGGAUUAGUAAUAUUAAGGAAGUUUGGGUAUAAAUGUAAUUAAGAAGGA